rnacentral:rRNA from 1 species
CAGUCGCCACGGUAAUACGGAGGGGGCUAGCGCUGUUCGGAAUUACUGGGCGUAAAGCGCACGUAGGCGGAUAUUUAAGUCAGGGGUGAAAUCCCAGAGCUCAACUCUGGAACUGCCUUUGAUACUGGGUAUCUUGAGUAUGGAAGAGGUGAGUGGAAUUCCGAGUGUAGAGGUGAAAUCCGUAGAUAUUCGGAGGAACACCAGUGGCGAAGGCGGCUCACUGGUCCAUUACUGACGCUGAGGUGCGAAAGCGUGGGGAGCAAACAGGAUUAGAUACCCCCGUAGUCCCUGUCUCUUAUAC